CAAUAGCCUUAUUUAAACCGGAACAAUGAAAAUUCAGAAGGCAAAUUAAUUUCCUUCUCUCCUAUAUACAGAUUCCUCCAUGCCUAAGCUUCUUCUGCCUCAAAAUAGCAAUGACAAUAAUCAUCUUGAAAAAGGUAAUGCGAAGCUGAAGAUCAAUAAAAUGGAUUACAAUUAUAAGUCUCUACUGGUAUCAGUUGAUGGAGCAAAGCUGCCUCAGCCAUCACCGAGCCCUCCACCGCAGCAUCAUACUUAAAGCAGCAGCAGCAGCAGCAGCGCAGUAGCAGAUAUAUAAUUACUACCACCAUGCUUUCUGAUGUAUAAGGCCAGCAUUAUGGAUACUUAAUUACUGAUCAUUAGCUGCUAAUUAUUUGGGUGUACUCAGCUUAAUCAGCCUAAUGCUUUCAUUAUGAAAAUAUAGUUUAUAUGCAUGAGUAAUAAAUUAAUUAUUAUAUAGUAAUUAUC